rnacentral:tRNA from 1 species
GGGAUUUUAGCUUAAUUGGCAAAGCGUUAGUUUUGCACACUAAAAAUUGAAGGUUCAAGCCCUUUAAAUUCCA